rnacentral:piRNA from 1 species
UACACUGUGGUCCCCCUAGCCUGCUCUUAC